CCUUCUUCGGCCUCUCUCUGCUUUGCGUUCUCACUCUCGUUGCCAAGCUGCCCACUCCAAUCCUCCAUCCUCUCCAUCCUUCCUCUCAAUCCCUACCAAAAAUGGAUUCGGUAGGAGUGAUGCUCACUAGUAGGUUAGGUGAGCGAGCACCUCAGAGAAGGGGUGGGAUUAGAGUCGUAAGGGUUUGGCGCUGCCGGUGGCAGUGUCGGAAUUGGAGGCGAUGUCUUUCAGAGAGAAGCCCGUACAGGAUAGAGUAGCGCUCCUCGGCCACGAUGGUGACGCCGCUCGCCGGGGAUCGACCUUCGAGGGG
rnacentral:lncRNA from 1 species